AGUGGCGGACGGGUGAGUAACGCGUGGGUAACCUGCCUCAUACAGGGGAUAACAGUUAGAAAUGACUGCUAAUACCGCAUAAGACCACAGCACCGCAUGGUGCAGGGGUAAAAACUCCGGUGGUAUGAGAUGGACCCGCGUCUGAUUAGGUAGUUGGUGGGGUAACGGCCUACCAAGCCGACGAUCAGUAGCCGACCUGAGAGGGUGACCGGCCACAUUGGGACUGAGACACGGCCAA
rnacentral:rRNA from 1 species